UACAGAGGUCUCAAGCGUUGUUCGGAUUCAUUGGGCGUAAAGGGUGCGUAGGCGGCGCGGUAAGUCGGGUGUGAAAUUUCGAGGCUUAACUUCGAAACUGCAUUCGAUACUGCCGUGCUUGAGGACUGGAGAGGAGACUGGAAUUUACGGUGUAGCGGUGAAAUGCGUAGAUAUCGUAAGGAAGACCAGUGGCGAAGGCGGGUCUCUAGACAGUUCCUGACGCUGAGGCACGAAGGCCAGGGGAGCAAACGGG
rnacentral:rRNA from 1 species